CCUACGGGUCGCAGCAGUGGGGAAUCUUCCGCAAUGGGCGAAAGCCUGACGGAGCAACGCCGCGUGUGGGAUGACGCCUUUCGGGGUGUAAACCACUUUUCUCAUGGAAGAAGCACUGACGGUACCUGAGGAAGAAGGACCGGCUAACUACGUGCCAGCAGCCGCGGUAAUACGUAGGGUCCGAGCGUUGUCCGGAGUUACUGGGCGUAAAGCGCGCGCAGGCGGCGGUGUAAGCAUGGCGUGAAAGCCCCAGGCUCAACCUGGGAGGGUCGUCGUGGACUGCACCGCUUGAGGGCGGUAGGGGCUGGUGGAAUGCCUGGUGUAGCGGUGAAAUGCGUAGAGAUCAGGCGGAACACCCGUGGCGAAGGCGGCCAGCUGGGCCGUCCCUGACGCUGAGGCGCGAAGGCGUGGGGAGCGAACGGGAUUAGAUACCCUGGUAGUC
rnacentral:rRNA from 1 species